rnacentral:ncRNA from 1 species
AAAGACUUAGUCCUAACCUUACUAUUAAUUCUUACUGAACAUAUACAUGCAAGUAUCCGCACCCCAGUGUAAAUGCCCUCAAUACCUUAACAAGGCAGCAGGAGCAGGCAUCAGGCGCACACAACCAGUAGCCCAAGACACCUUGCCCAGCCACACCCCCACGGGUAAUCAGCAGUAAUUAACAUUAAGCAAUAAGUGUAAACUUGACUUAGUUACAGUAACCCCAACAGGGUUGGUAAAUCUUGUGCCAGCCACCGCGGUCACACAAGAAACCCAAAUUAAUCACCUACGGCGUAAAGAGUGGAUCCAAUGCUAUUCCCCCACUGAGGUUAAAAUGCAACUAAGCCGUUAUAAGCACAUGAUGCACCUAACAUCUACCAUAAAGACAACCCCAGCACCUACAGACCAAUUACACUCCACGAAAGCUAAGACACAAACUGGGAUUAGAUACCCCACUAUGCUUAGCCCUAAAUCCAGAUGCUUAACUACCCCAUCAUCCGCCCGAGAACUACGAGCACAAACGCUUAAAACUCUAAGGACUUGGCGGUGCCCCAAACCCACCUAGAGGAGCCUGUUCUAUAAUCGACAACCCACGAUACACCCUACCACUUUUUGCCAACUAAACCAGCCUAUAUACCGCCGUCGCCAGUUCACCCCAUUGAGGGUCCCACAGUGAACACAAGAGUCCACCCCACUAACAAGACAGGUCGAGGUAUAGCCCAUAAAGUGGAAGAAAUGGGCUACAUUUUCUAAUCUAGAAAACACUUAACGACAAGAGGUGCGAAACCACCCCUAAAAGGCGGAUUUAGCAGUAAAGCAGGACAAUCAUGCCUCCUUUAAAUUGGCCCUAGGGCACGUACAUACCGCCCGUCACCCUCCUCCCGAGCUACUCACGACACUUCCUAAUACAUCAACCCAGCUAAAGACGAGGUAAGUCGUAACAAGGUAAGUGUACCGGAAGGUGCACUUAGUCUAC